rnacentral:rRNA from 1 species
GACGAACGCUGGCGGCGUGCCUAAUACAUGCAAGUCGAACGGAGUGGCGAACGGGUGAGUAAUGUAUCGGAACGUGCCCAGUAGCGGGGGAUAACUACGCGAAAGCGUAGCUAAUACCGCAUACUAUUGGAGCGGCCGAGACCGGAUUAGCUAGUUGGUGGGGUAACGGCUCACCAAGGCGACGAUCCGUAGCUGGUUUGAGAGGACUAACAGCCACACUGGUACUGAGACACGGCCCAGCUGCUUACGGGAGGCAGCAGUGGGGAAUUUUGGACAAUGGGGGAAACCCUGAUCCAGCCAUCCCGCGUGUGCGAUGAAGGCCUUCGGGUUGUAAAGCACUUUUGGCAGGAAAGCGGUACCUGCAGAAUAAGCACCGGCUAACUACGUGCCAGCAGCCGCGGUAAUAC